AGGAUCAUUACAGAGAAAUUGCCCUUCGGGGUAGAUCUCCCACCCUUUGUUUACAUUACCUUUGUUGCUUUGGCAGGCCCGUCUUUUGACCGCUGGCUUAGGCUGGUCCGCGCCUGCCAGAGGACCCUAAACUCUUGAUUUUUGUGUCGUCUGAGUAACAUUAUAAUAAGUUAAAACUUUCAACAACGGAUCUCUUGGUUCUGGCAUCGAUGAAGAACGCAGCGAAAUGCGAUAAGUAAUGUGAAUUGCAGAAUUCAGUGAAUCAUCGAAUCUUUGAACGCACAUUGCACCCUCUGGUAUUCCGGGGGGUAUGCCUGUUCGAGCGUCAUUUCAACCCUCAAGCUCAGCUUGGUAUUGGGUGUCACCUGGCAAUGGUGCACCUUAAAAUCAGUGGCGGUGCCAUCUGGCUUCAAGCGUAGUAAUUCUCUCGCUUUGGAUGUUUGGAUGUGUGCCUGCCAUCAACUCCUAAUUUAUCAAAGGUUGACCUCGGAUCAGGUAGGGAUACCCGCUGAACUUAAGCAUAUCAAUAAGCGGAGGAAAAGAAACCAACAGGGAUUGCCUCAGUAACGGCGAGUGAAGCGGCAACAGCUCAAAUUUGAAAUCUGGCCUUCUGGUCCGAAUUGUAAUUUGUAGAGGAUGCUUCGAACGUGGUCCGGUCUAAGUUCCUUGGAACAGGACGUCAUAGAGGGUGAGAAUCCCGUAUGUGACUGGGUGCCUAAGUUCAUGUGAAGCUCCUUCAACGAGUCGAGUUGUUUGGGAAUGCAGCUCAAAAUGGGUGGUAAAUUUCAUCUAAAGCUAAAUAUUGGCCAGAGACCGAUAGCGCACAAGUAGAGUGAUCGAAAGAUGAAAAGCACUUUGGAAAGAGAGUUAAAUAGUACGUGAAAUUGUUGAAAGGGAAGCGCUUGCAAUCAGACUUGCAUGCAGUUGAUCAUCCGAUGUUCUCACCGGUGCACUCAUCUGCAUUCAGGCCAGCAUCGGUUUUGGUGGUUGGAUAAAGGCCCUGGGAAUGUAGCUUCUCUCGGGGAGUGUUAUAGCCC
rnacentral:rRNA from 1 species